CGGUAGCCCUGAUGGAAGCGGCAUCCUGCCGACGCAGGAGGCAGAUAGAGCGCACAGCAGGAACAUGG
rnacentral:sRNA from 1 species